rnacentral:lncRNA from 1 species
AGGAGUAUCUUCAGUCGUACAGGGCCCACCACGAGGGCCUAGACCCGACCCCCAAAAUGUCGGAAAACGCCGUCUCCAAGGUCAGCAGGGUGAAGACAUUCAUCCUAUACAUGGCCAACAACCGGAGCCGCUUGUCUGACUGGCUGUUUUUGGACGACAUGUCCAGGAUCCUUGGGUGAGUGACAAUGUCAUUACAAUUUCGUUUGUACAUUGAAAGAUUUCCGCUCUCUCUUCAAAUAGUUGGGCCCGCAGUGUGGUGGAAGGCGGGAUGACCAUUGCCACUGCAAAGUUUUAUCUGCAGAAUGCCCUGCAUUUUGCGAGGUUCAUGGUCGGGAUCCCCCCAAAGACAUGCCGCCUCACUCGGGUGCAGUUCGCCUCCAUCGAGAGGGAACUGAAGACGGGGGUGAGGUCGCUGCAGCGCAGGGUGGUGGUCCACCAGAUGUCCACCAAGCGGCUAAAAAUAAGUAAGCUGCCGUCCCGCCAGGCCCUGAGGGGUUGCCUCUCUGCCGCUGCCGUCGCCAUCCCACAGCUACUGGGCGAACUCGAGGCCAAAUUCGACAACGCCACCCGCUUCCUCUACUACGGCUACCAGUGCGCAUAUUGGAGCUGCCUGUUCAGGCACAGGCCGGGGGUCUAUGCCAACAUGACGGACAACGAGGUGGAGGAGGCAAAGACCCUCGGCCAGGAUCGGGGCUACCUGCUUCACGUGAGUGCUAUUUCUGACACUGUUAGCUUUGAAGUUAGCCCUGAUGUCUACUGCGGUGCGUGUACUUGACCCAGUCUCCCCGUACUCUCUCUCUCCUCUACGUGUCGCGACAGAUAAAAGAACACAAGACAAACAGAACAUUUGGGGAGGCCCAGAUGUUUCUCAACCCGGCAGAGUUCGCGUGGAUGGCCGUGAAGAAAAGCCUCCCCGAUGCAAACCAGUUUGUGCUCUACACUAAGGGCAAGGGGCCCUCCAAAAACCUCAACGGGAACCUACAGUCAGCCUGGAAGGACAUGGGGUUGGCGGGGGUGAUUAAUUUCACCCUCAUUAGGAUGGCCGUGGCUACUUAUGUAAGUUGACAUUAAAUUCAAGACAAGUACGCAUGGAGGCCGAAAGCGCCAUUGCGAGUGCUGUCGUUAAUUUCUCUACAAUUUUUCAAUGUUUUCCAGGCAAAAAAAUCCCAAGAUCCAAAACAAAGGAAAAAGGUCGCAGACUUUGUGUCACGACACCAGAAUGGCCGACAAGUACUACGUGGCCGACCCUGACCACUGUUAGGCCGAGGAAGUCAGGGCACUGGUGAGCCAGAGCCUCCUUGUGGGAGACGGAGGAGACGCAGCAGCAGCAGCAACAACAGCAGCAGCAGGAGGAGGAGAUGGAAGUCAGCAGCAGCAGCAGCAGCAGCAGCAGCAGCAAAGAGGACAAGGCUGCCCCCUCAUCUUCCUUAGCCAACCCACCGCCACAGGAGGUCGAGGAUGAGGGCACACCAAGGAAGAAAAAGCUCAAAAGAGACUGCUCUGUGGUAAUUAGCCCAUUUAAAUCGAUCCCGGACAAGAAGACGGCCAGUGAGCAGAGCAAACAGAGGAUGAGGGUCAAGAGGCUCCGAUUCCCCCCCCAAAAAUACAACUAGGCCGCGUUUGAAAUGUUCCACAUUUAAAAGUUCUUAUUGUGUGGUGUUUAGCCCUUAGAGAUUGUUUUGUGUGGUGUUUAGCUCUUGGAGAUUGUGAUGUUUUAAAGAUUUUAUUGUGUUGUGUUUAGCUCUUAGAGAUUGUUUGUGAUGUUUUAAAGAUUUUAUUGUGUGGUGUUUAGCUCUUAGAGAUUGUUUGUGUGGUGUUUUAAAGCUCUUAUUGUGUGCUGUUUGAAUUCACUGUUUUUUUUAUGCCAAAUAAAUGGUUAAAUUGUGA